rnacentral:rRNA from 1 species
UACAGAGGUCCCGAGCGUUGUUCGGAUUCAUUGGGCGUAAAGGGCGCGUAGGCGGCGCGGUAAGUCACUUGUGAAAUCUCUGAGCUUAACUCAGAACGGCCAAGUGAUACUGCAGUGCUAGAGUGUGGAAGGGGCAAUCGGAAUUCUUGGUGUAGCGGUGAAAUGCGUAGAUAUCAAGAGGAACACCUGAGGUGAAGACGGGUUGCUGGGCCAACACUGACGCUGAGGCGCGAAAGCCAGGGGAGCAAACGGG